rnacentral:rRNA from 1 species
UACGAAGGGGGGCUAGCGUUGCUCGGAAUCACUGGGCGUAAAGGGCUCGUAGGCGGCCAACUAAGUCCGACGUGAAAUCCCCAGGCUUAACCUGGGAACUGCGUCGGAUACUGGAUGGCUUGAAUUCGGGGAGAGGGAUGCAGAAUUCCAGGUGUAGCGGUGAAAUGCGUAGAUAUCUGGAGGAAUACCGGUGGCGAAGGCGGCAUCCUGGACCGACAUUGACGCUGAGGAGCGAAAAGCUAGGGGAGCAAACGGG